rnacentral:rRNA from 1 species
GACGAACCGUGCGACCGUUGUUCGGAAUCACUGGGCUUAAAGGGCGCGUAGGCGGGCUCCCAAGUCUGGGGUGAAAUCUUUCGGCUUAACCGGAAAAGUGCCUCGGAUACUGGGAGCCUUGAGGGAGGCAGGGGCGGAUGGAACUUCCGGUGGAGCGGUGAAAUGCGUUGAUAUCGGAAGGAACGCCGGUGGCGAAAGCGAUCCGCUGGACCUCUUCUGACGCUGAGGCGCGAAAGCCAGGGGAGCAAACGGG